AGUGAACGCUGGCGGUAGGCCUAACACAUGCAAGUCGAACGGCAGCACAGUAAGAGCCUGUUCUUACGGGUGGCGAGUGGCGGACGGGUGAGGAAUACAACGGAAUCUACUUUUUCGUGGGGGCUAACGAAGGGAAACUUACGCUAAUACCGCAUAUGACCUACGGGUGUAAGCAGGUGAUCUUCGGACCUUGCGCGAAUGAAUGAGCCGAUGUCGGAUUAGCUAGUUGGCGGGGUAAAGGCCCACCAAGGCGACGAUCCGUAGCUGGUCUGAGAGGAUGAUCGGCCGCACUGGAACGUGGACACGGACCAUACGACUGCGGGAGGCAGCAGAGGGGAACAGUGGGCAGCGGGGGCGAGCCUUGUCCAACGGUCCCGAGUGGGUGGAGGAAACGUUCGGGUUGUGAAGACCGUUUGUUGGUAAAGAACAGCAGCAGGUUGAGAAGCCGCUGUUCUGACGGUACCCGAAGAAUAAGCGCCGGCUAACUACGUG
rnacentral:rRNA from 1 species